rnacentral:rRNA from 1 species
UACGGAGGGUGCAAGCGUUAUCCGGAUUCACUGGGUUUAAAGGGUGCGUAGGUGGGCUUGUAAGUCAGUGGUGAAAUCCCCGGGCUCAACCCGGGAAUUGCCAUUGAUACUAUGGGCCUUGAAUGCCGUUGAGGUAUGCGGAAUGGGUCAUGUAGCGGUGAAAUGCAUAGAUAUGACCCGGAACACCGAUUGCGAAGGCAGCAUGCUAAGCGGAUAUUGACGCUGAGGCCCGAAAGCGUGGGGAUCAAACAGG